rnacentral:lncRNA from 1 species
UUUGGCCGACCAAAAAGAGAAGAGAGGAGGCUUUGGGCAUGAGCAAUUAUAGUCCUUGAGGCAUGGGUUAUUUCCUAGAAGAGUCUAGGGUUUUGUUGGUUGAGAAUUGCUCUCCAAUCUUCCUCUAUUUUUUCUUUGUUUUGUCUCUUAGAUUGUCUAUGAGAAGAAGCCUAGAUCAAGCAUCAAGAGGGAUCGCUGUGAGGGAG